GGGGUUGUAGCUCAGUGGUAAAGUGCUUGCCUCACAUACGUGAGGCACUGGGUUCGAUUCUCAGCACCACUU
rnacentral:tRNA from 1 species